GACGAACGCUGGCGGCGUGCUUAACACAUGCAAGUCGAACGGAAAGGCCCUGCUUUUGUGGGGUGCUCGAGUGGCGAACGGGUGAGUAACACGUGAGUAACCUGCCCUUGACUUUGGGAGAACUUCAGGAAACUGGGGCUAAUACCGGAUAGGAUCUCCUGCAGCAUGGUGGGGGUUGGAAAGAGUCGGCGGUUGGGGAUGGACUCGAGGCUUAUGAGCUUGUUGGUGGGGUAGUGGCUUACCAAGGCUUUGACGGGUAGCCGGCCUGAGAGGGUGACCGGCGACCUUGGGCCUGAGGUACGGACCAGACUCCAACGGGAGGCAGUAGUGGGGAAUAUUGCACAAUGGGGGGAAGCCUGAUGCAGCAACGCCGCGUGCGGGAUGACGGCUUUCGGGUUGUGAACCGCUUUCGCCUGUGACGAAGCGUGAGUGACGGUAAUGGGUAAAGAAGCACCGGCUAACUACGUG
rnacentral:rRNA from 1 species